rnacentral:ncRNA from 2 species
CCUCUCCUAUCCUGCUUCGGUGAAGGAGCCUUCGAGUAAGGGAAGAGGGUCGAAGCCCUCGCGGUCCCGCCGCUGUGAAUGGGGACGAAACCCGUUGAUGCCACUUGCGUGGCUGUGAAGCGUUGUUUCGUGAAGCGCUCGUGUUAUGACGCGAGAUACGAUUCACGAGAUAUGUUUCAUGUGCAUGCUGGGAAGGCACGGGGAGUAGGGGGAACCAUGAGCCAGAAGACCUGCUCGAAGAGAUGACCGUCGU